CCUACGGGUGGCAGCAGUGAGGAAUAUUGGUCAAUGGGCGUAAGCCUGAACCAGCCAAGUCGCGUGAGGGAUGAAGGUUCUAUGGAUUGUAAACCUCUUUAGGCGGGGAGCAAUGCCGGGCACGCGUGCCCGGAGGGAGAGUACCCGCAGAAUAAGCAUCGGCUAACUCCGUGCCAGCAGCCGCGGUAAUACGGAGGGUGCGAGCGUUAAUCGGAAUUACUGGGCGUAAAGCGCUCGUAGGCGGUAUGUCAAGUCAAGGGUGAAAUCCCCGCGCUCAACGUGGGAACUGCCUUUGAAACUGGCAAACUGGAGUGUGUGAGAGGAUAGUGGAAUUCCAGGUGUAGGAGUGAAAUCCGUAGAUAUCUGGAGGAACAUCAGUGGCGAAGGCGACUAUCUGGCACAUAACUGACGCUGAGGAGCGAAAGCGUGGGUAGCAAACAGGAUUAGAUACCCUGGUAGUC
rnacentral:rRNA from 1 species